GACGAACGCUGGCGGCGUGCCUAAUACAUGCAAGUAGAACGAGUUGCGAACGGGUGAGUAACGCGUGGUAACCUGCCUCAUAGCGGGGGAUAACUAUUGGAAACGUUAGCUAAUACCGCAUACCAUCAGAUGUGCCCAGAUGGGAUUAGGUAGUUGGUGGGGUAAAGGCUCACCAAGGCGACGAUCCCUAGCUGGUCUGAGAGGAUGACCAGCCACACUGGAACUGAGACACGGUCCAGACUCCGACGGGAGGCAGCAGUGGGGAAUAUUGCACAAUGGGCGCAAGCCUGAUGCAGCCAUGCCGCGUGUAUGAAGAAGGCCUUCGGGUUGUAAAGUACUUUAAGCGGGGAGGCGUUACCCGCAGAAGAAGCACCGGCUAACUCCGUGCCAGCAGCCGCGGUAAUAC
rnacentral:rRNA from 1 species